AUGUACACACGUACACGCCGGUUCCUCCGUGCCGUCCGCACCCACCUGACGAAUGCUUGCUCCGUUUUGUUAGCC
rnacentral:sRNA from 1 species